ensembl:lncRNA
CUAGUGGCCAUGUCUGCUGAACCGAGGAGGAGGUCCUGAGGGUCCCUCUUUCACUAGGAGAAGGAAACAAAGGCUUCACUGACUCUCGGGGCCCAGCACAUCCUGCCCCAGCUCCGACAUCCUCUCUUGCUCCUGCUGCUGUUCCUGGAAGCUGCUAAGACUGCUAGGGUGCUCCUGCCUCAGGGCCUUUGCAGUAGCCAGGUCCUCCUCCUGCAGAUUUGUGGCUUCCUCCUCACCCCUUCAAAUAUCUGCACAGAGAUCUGCCUCUUCUUGAGCCUUUUCUAACCUCGCUAUUUAAAAUCAUAGUGCCCCCACCACCACCUUUCUUUCUUUCCCCUGAUUUAUUUUUUCACUGCAUCUUCUGAGUUUUGGUUUGUAUUUUUCAUCUCUAGUCACCGAAUGCAAGCUCAAGCCUGUCAUCUCUUGGCUUGCUUUUUUUCCCAGUGCCUGGCACGGAUCAGGCAAAGGCAUUUGUUGAUUGGCAACAAAGUCAGGAUUACUGCUCUUAAACUUAAGCUCCUUUUAUUAUUUUGUUUGAGCAAAUGCCAACAUUUCCUCCCAGUAGAGCUUGUCUUACAUAAUUGCAGUUAAUUAUUCCAGUUAGCGUGGGAAGAGAGAUUCCCUCAGGGACACAGGGGAAAGAAGAAAAAUCCAGACAGUAGAUUUUGACACUUGUUUCUAAUGUCUCUGAAACUACAGGAAAAGAGAAGCUCUAUAGAGAGUGGGUUUGUCUUAAUAAGGCCAAGUGGAAGCCAGAGUGAUGGCCCAGGGAAGCCAGGCCUGAAUCAUAGAACUUGUGUCUGGGAGCAGCAGGCAGAGAAGGCAGACAUGGGACAAGCAGUGACCUCCCUCCUGUCUCCAUACCUGCCCCUCCUCUGGAGCCCUGUGGUCAGGACCCUCAGGGCUGCACUGGAUGCAGCUGCUCAGCUUGGGCUACUCCUAUGCUGCCUGAGUUGGAGUUUGGAUGGCUGUGGCACCAGAUGUCUUCUCUCUGUUUCCUGGGCUGUGGGCUACUGCCCCAGGCUGCACUGAGCCCUCUCUGCCUGUGUGGUCUCCUUAACCUGCAGGAACAGCCCCCAACUGCCAGGAGUUUGUUUGCAGAUUUGACUUCUGAAGUCCCCUCUCCUAAAAACAAAGGGUCUGAAGAUCAAAGUCAUCUGUGAAAGGUCGAAUAGAUUUAAUCAACUUCUUUAUUGCAGCAUGCCCUUGUGGCCUCACGGGUGUACUGUAUGAUCGAUCAGCUGACAGAGGAAGAGAUAACUAGGGCCUAGCUUAUGGAUGGUUCUGCACAUUAUGCAGGCUGAACUAGAAAGUGGACAGCUGCAGCAUUACUGCCCCUGUCCAGGACAUCCCUGGACAGUGGAAAAGGGAAAUCUUUACAAUGGGCAGAACCUCAGGCAAUGCACCUGGUCACAUAUUUUGCUUGGAAGAAAAGUAGCAAGAUGUGCAACUGUAUGAUGCUUACGUGGGCUGUAGCCAGUGAUCUGGCUGGAUCUUGAGAACUUGGGGGAAGGAACAUGUAUUUGGGAAAUGACAAAUGCAUUUGGGAAAGAAGUAUCUACAACCCACAGUGCCUCACUGGCUACUGGUUCAGUCCUGAGGACUCUGUAAUGGGCUUCUGGCUGCAAUGGGCUUCAAGGGGUCCAUACCUCUUGUCUCAUUUUUACACCUCCAAGGAAUGAACAGAGGCUGCUCUUCAAGUAUAGACUGAGAAACACAAAGACCCCAAAUCCAUAAUACUCUAAAAUCUAAAAUUUGUUGAGCAUCAGCAGGACACCACAAGUGGAAAUUUCCACACUCUGAAACUUUGCUUCAUGUGUGAAAUUUAUAAGAAGUUUUAGGGUUUCCUUUGACACAGCAAUAACUUCAUGUUAAUUAUGUUAGUUUCAUAUGUUGGCUUUUAUAGGUAGAUUAAAUAUAAAUGGGAGAAAUGUUUAUAAUAGAUCAUUCACAUAUACUUGUCUCUACUAAGUGUAUUUUCAUCCAGGUAUAUAAAAAAGGGGUUAAGAUUGCUUUAUUCUUUGUUCCUCAUUAAGUAUAACAUUACUAAGAGUUAAAAUUCUAAUGUAUAAUUCUAUAAAAAGGGAUAUAUAUGUUUCUAUUUUAAAAGAACAUAUUUUAUCUUACUAAGGAAAAAAGUACCUUUUCCAAAUUCAGAAAUUUUGAAGUUUGUUUUAAAGGUAAAUUUAAAGAAUGAGGACAAGGCAGAAAGAAGAGGGAGAAGUAAAGGAUAUGGGUAAGAGAAUAUUUUUGGCAAGAAAAGAUCUGUGUGGUGAGAAGUUGAACUACCAGAAAUUAAGAAGAAAGAUGAGGACAAGAUCAGAAAGCUACUGUACAUCACAAAAAGUUUGUCAGUGAUAUUUGUGAGAGAAAAUUUCUAAGUAUGAUAAGGUUGCCUAUAAUUUCACAAACUUUAAAGAGUUUUUUUAAAUGCAAAAUUUCUAACAUUACUGUGAAAUCCAAUUCUAUGUUUAAAACAAUACUAUGUUAAAAUGUUGAUGCACUAAGUAAAAAUUUACAGAAAGUCGUCUAAGAAAAGGUUUCUGUUUAUCAAGAUAAUUUCUUCUGUUUUCUUCUCUUAGGUCUUUGAUUACCAAGGAAACUGAGUCUUAAUAGAGUCUGGAUUUAUUUAAAUGAUCAGUUUAUAACUGUGAUUAAAUGAACAUCUGUUAUUUUAGGUUACUGUAGUAUGCUUGACCAUUCCUAUGUCUGAGACUAGAACUGUAUAAUGCAAGGACUACCCAUGCUGUGAGAAUGUGCAAAGGUUGUGAAACUAAUGAUGCAUAAGUUUGAUGCAUAGUCAGUAACCAGUAUGUGCUGUCUCACACAACAUGCACAGCAUCUGCACCUUGAACUUAUGAAAUGGUCAGAAAAACCUAACAUUUCUGCUGCUAUCCAGGACCAUUGCAGGGGGAGGGGGAGGUUCCAUGUAGACAACCUUGCUAUUUAAACUAUAGUCCAUGUCUACUGGAUGUAACUCAGUAAUUUAUUGCACAAAUGAGACACACUUGUAUAUCAGGUAAUAAGUCUAUUUGAGGCCAUUAACAAUGUUUCUACACUUCAUCUUAGCCAAAAGGCGAGAAGCGAUUAUUAACAAUGUUUCUUAAUCUUGUAUGAGAUCCAGAGCCAUUCUCUGAUUUUUGCCACUAUGGUUAAACUUUGAAGAUGUCUCAAGUACCAAAUUUACAUGAUUAUAGCUAUAGUACUGAGCCAUCAAUUCUGAAUUUUGCCUUGAAAGUGAAAAGUUAAGUUGAUAUGUAAACAUUUCUAUGCAACAAUGCUGCUAAUUAUUACUUCUUUGUAUGUCAAAUGCUGUCACUCCCUCAGUGUGCAAGCCUUCUAAUUUUAUUAGAAUAAUUAGAUAUGGUUAAACACAGGGAAUUCUAGGGCUGGGGAUUUAGCUCAGUGGUUCCACCAUCUGCCUCGCAAGCACAUGGUCCCAAGUUCAAUCCCCAUACCAAAAAAAACCAAAACCAAAAAAAAACCAAAACCAAACCACAGGUAUUCCAAAAUUGGUGACCUAAAAGACACAUUUGUAAGCAAAUAUAUUCUACUUAAAAGGACUCUAAUUCUGACACAACUAGAAUUAUGUUUCUUAAACUAUUAUGCUGUUUUGCUUUUAUUAUCUUUGUAUUGCAUUUUCCGUGUAAUAGUUUGCAAGUGUGGUCUGUUCACAUUCCUCAGGGUUAUGGCUUCUAACAGAAAAUGUGAACAGAAUUUUGGGAAGAUAGGCCAUUCCCUGUGAGAUGGAUGGGCUCUGACACAGACUCCUCACAGCUAAAAAGAAUUACAACAGGAUUACAGUUGCUGCCCCACAUGGAGAAUAGUAUAACUGACCUUGUUGGUGUUCAACAACUGAGGCUUGGAGACCAAAGCUAAGGGAGGUAAAAGGACAAAGAGGCAGGGGCUUAAUCACCAUUUUUGCUAUGAACCAUGGCUCUUCAGUUGGGCUGCAGAUGCUGGAUAGGUGACUAACAGCAGAACACAGCUGGACCAUUAUUUGUAUCCUUGUCACUGUAAAUCCUGAGUCAGAUCUCUUCUCAGAUCUGCAUAAGGGCCUGCUGGUCAUUUAGGAUCUGGCUGGACCGGGUUGACCUGAAUUUUGAAGGUCUCAUCCCCUUCAAGACUGAGGACACAAGAUGAGAGGUUUACAGGGACACUAAGCUACACCCAGAAGCCUAUAGCCACUGACCUGAACCUGUG